AGGGUCAUAGCUCAGUGACAGAGCAUCGGCUCUGCAUGCCGGAUCAAUCCCAGGAUCAAUCCCUGAUGUCUCCA